rnacentral:rRNA from 1 species
CACUCCUGCGGGAGGCAGCAGUGGGGAAUAUUGCACAAUGGGCGCAAGCCUGAUGCAGCCAUGCCGCGUGUAUGAAGAAGGCCUUCGGGUUGUAAAGUACUUUCAGCGGGGAGGAAGGCGAUAAGGUUAAUAACCUUGUCGAUUGACGUUACCCGCAGAAGAAGCACCGGCUAACUCCGUGCCAGCAGCCGCGGUAAUACGGAGGGUGCAAGCGUUAAUCGGAAUUACUGGGCGUAAAGCGCACGCAGGCGGUCUGUCAAGUCGGAUGUGAAAUCCCCGGGCUCAACCUGGGAACUGCAUUCGAAACUGGCAGGCUAGAGUCUUGUAGAGGGGGGUAGAAUUCCAGGUGUAGCGGUGAAAUGCGUAGAGAUCUGGAGGAAUACCGGUGGCGAAGGCGGCCCCCUGGACAAAGACUGACGCUCAGGUGCGAAAGCGUGGGGAGCAAACAGGAUUAGAAACCCCGGUAGUCCCAUGA